rnacentral:rRNA from 1 species
UACGUAGGGGGCGAGCGUUGUCCGGAUUUAUUGGGCGUCAAGAGCUCGUAGGCGGUUUGGUAAGUCGGGUGUGAAAUCUCCACGCUCAACGUGGAGGGGCCACUCGAUACUGCCAUGACUCGAGUCCGGUAGAGGAGUGUGGAAUUCCCGGUGUAGCGGUGAAAUGCGCAGAUAUCAGGAAGAACACCCGUGGCUAAGGCGGCUCUCUAGUACGGUACUGACGCUGAGACGCGAAAGCGUGGGGAGCGAACAGG